rnacentral:rRNA from 1 species
GGUGGCUAUGGCGCGAGGGAUCCACCUCUUCCCAUCCCGAACAGAGAAGUUAAGCCUCGCCGCGCCGAUGGUACUGCGCAUAGUGGGAGAGUAGGUAGCCGCCG